rnacentral:rRNA from 1 species
AUUGAACGCUGGCGGCAGGCCUAACACAUGCAAGUCGAACGAGUGGCGGACGGGUGAGUAAUGUCUGGGAAACUGCCUGAUGGAGGGGGAUAACUACUGGAAACGGUAGCUAAUACCGCAUACCCUCGGAUGUGCCCAGAUGGGAUUAGCUAGUAGGUGGGGUAAAGGCUCACCUAGGCGACGAUCCCUAGCUGGUCUGUGAGGAUGAACAGCCACACUAGAACUGAGACACGGUCCUGACUACUACGGUAGGCAGCAGUGGAGAAUAUUGCACAAGGGACGCAACGCUGAUGCAGCCAUGCCGCGUGUAGUGAGAAGGCCAUCGGCUUGUAAAGUACUUUCAGCGGGAAGGCGGUACCCGCAGAAGAAGCACCGGCUAACUCCGUGCCAGCAGCCGCGGUAAUAC